CCUACGGGGGGCAGCAGUGGGGGAUAUUGCACAAUGGGGGGAACCCUGAUGCAGCGACGCCGCGCGGGUGAAGCAGCGCCUCGGCGCGUAAAGCCCUGUCAGCAGGGAAGAAAAUGACGGUACCUGAAGAAGAAGCCCCGGCUAACUACGUGCCAGCAGCCGCGGCAAUACGUAGGGGGCAAGCGGUAUCCGGAUUUACUGGGAGUAGAGGGAGCGUAGACGGCCAUUCAAGCCAGAUGUGAAAGCCCGGGGCUCAACCCCGGGACUGCAUUUGGAACUGUGUGGCUCGAGUGUCGGAGAGGCAG
rnacentral:rRNA from 1 species